UACAGGGGGGGCAAGCGUUGUUCGGAAUUACUGGGCGUAAAGGGCUCGUAGGUGGCCAACUAAGUCAGACGUGAAAUCCCUCAGCUUAACUGGGGAACUGCGUCUGAUACUGGAUGGCUUGAGUUUGGGAGAGGGAUGCGGAAUUCCAGGUGUAGCGGUGAAAUGCGUAGAUAUCUGGAGGAACACCGGUGGCGAAGGCGGCAUUCUGGACCGACAUUGACGCUGAGGAGCGAAAGCCAGGGGAGCAAACGGG
rnacentral:rRNA from 1 species